UCUAAUAUGGCAGAGUAGUGCGAUGGUUUUAAGAACCAUAUAUGAAUAAAAAUCUUUUAGAA
rnacentral:tRNA from 1 species